rnacentral:rRNA from 1 species
UACGUAGGGUGCGAGCGUUAACCGGAAUUACUGGGCGUAAAGCGUGCGCAGGCGGUUCGCUAAGACCGAUGUGAAAUCCCCGGGCUUAACCUGGGAACUGCAUUGGUGACUGGCGGGCUAGAGUAUGGCAGAGGGGGGUAGAAUUCCACGUGUAGCAGUGAAAUGCGUAGAGAUGUGGAGGAAUACCGAUGGCGAAGGCAGCCCCCUGGGCCAAUACUGACGCUCAUGCACGAAAGCGUGGGGAGCAAACAGG